GGCGGACGGGUGAGUAAUGCGUGAGCAACCUGCCCUUCAGAGGGGGACAACAGUUGGAAACGACUGCUAAUACCGCAUAAUGUAUUCGGAAGGCAUCUUCUGGAUACCAAAGGAGAAAUCCGCUGAUGGAUGGGCUCACGUCUGAUUAGCUAGUUGGUGAGGUAACGGCUCACCAAGGCUGCGAUCAGUAGCCGGACUGAGAGGUUGAACGGCCACAUUGGGACUGAGAUACGGCCCAGACUCCUACGGGAGGCAGCAGUGGGGAAUAUUGGGCAAUGGGCGAAAGCCUGACCCAGCAACGCCGCGUGAAGGAAGAAGGCCUUCGGGUUGUAAACUUCUUUUAAGAGGGACGAAGAAGUGACGGUACCUCUUGAAUAAGCCACGGCUAACUACGUGCCAGCAGCCGCGGUAAUACGUAGGUGGCGAGCGUUAUCCGGAUUUACUGGGUGUAAAGGGCGCGUAGGCGGGAAUGCAAGUCAGAUGUGAAAUCCAAGGGCUCAACCCUUGAACUGCAUUUGAAACUGUAUUUCUUGAGUGUCGGAGAGGUUGACGGAAUUCCUAGUGUAGCGGUGAAAUGCGUAGAUAUUAGGAGGAACACCAGUGGCGAAGGCG
rnacentral:rRNA from 1 species